rnacentral:rRNA from 1 species
CGAACGCUGGCGGCGUGCCUAAUACAUGCACAUAGAACGCUGAAGAGAGGAGCUUGCUCUUCUUGGAUGAGUUGCGAACGGGUGAGUAACGCGUAGGUAACCUGCCUUGUAGCGGGGGAUAACUAUUGGAAACGAUAGCUAAUACCGCAUAACAAUGGAUGACACAUGUCAUUUAUUUGAAAGGGGCAAUUGCUCCACUACAAGAUGGACCUGCGUUGUAUUAGCUAGCAGGUGAGGUAAUGGCUCACCUAGGCGACGAUACAUAGCCGACCUGAGAGGGUGAUCGGCCACACUGGGACUGAGACACGGCCCAGACUCCUACGGGAGGCAGCAGUAGGGAAUCUUCGGCAAUGGGGGCAACCCUGACCGAGCAACGCCGCGUGAGUGAAGAAGGUUUUCGGAUCGUAAAGCUCUGUUGUAAGUCAAGAACGGGUGUGAGAGUGGAAAGUUCACACUGUGACGGUAGCUUACCAGAAAGGGACGGCUAACUACGUG